ACGGGAGGCAGCAGUGAGGAAUAUUGGUCAAUGGAGGCAACUCUGAACCAGCCAUCUCGCGUGAAGGAAUACGGCCCUACGGGUCUUAAACUUCUUUUAUAGGGGGAUAAAGUGAGAUAUGUAUAUCUUUUUGUAGGUACCCUAUGAAUAAGCAUCGGCUAACUCCGUGCCAGCAGCCGCGGUAAUACGGAGGAUGCGAGCGUUAUCCGGAUUUAUUGGGUUUAAAGGGUGCGCAGGCGGCACGUUAAGUCAGCGGUGAAAUGUCGGGGCUCAACCCGGGCACUGCCGUUGAAACUGGUUGUCUUGAGUGUAAACGAGGUAGGCGGAAUGUGACGUGUAGCGGUGAAAUGCUUAGAUAUGUCACAGAACCCCGAUUGCGAAGGCAGCUUACCAGCAUACAACUGACGCUGAGGCACGAAAGCGUGGGUAUCAAACAGGAUUAGAUACCCUGGUA
rnacentral:rRNA from 1 species